rnacentral:lncRNA from 1 species
CCUGUCGGGUAACGUCCUGAUAAACCACCGAUACACAGCAUCAAAUAAGGUUAUCUCACACGAAGGUGAGUCCAGAGAUACAGUUACCAUCAUAUUUUACAUCACAGGGAAUUACAUUACAAAAGUUUCCAAAAGCAGUACGAAGUUUCAAAUUUAGAGAAAAUAUUACAAACUGUUAGAGUUAUGGUUUUUAGCAGCGGAAAAACAUACGCGAUGAUUACAGCACGUCGUCAAGACAGAUGUCAUGCUAAGCCCGGGCACGACAUCACUCGGUAUCACCAAUGUUGGUCGGGAACGGAUCCCAUUCCACGGACCAACCUUCUGGAAGAGCACAGGGCCAAGGCAAGGGAAGAUUAGGGUCUUCAAGAUAUUACCUGCAAAACAUAUAACUAGCAAGGCUGAGUAUACUAAUACUCAGCAAGGCUUACCCGGGAUUGGGUAUACUUUAGCCCGUAACUAGACUCAUGAAGGCAUUGUAAAGGUUCUGGGUUUAUUUUCAGCUGAAAAGCAACUAAGAGUAUAACUUACUUUCAAGUUUUAGCUGUCAGAUUCUAUCUUGAUUAGCCAUUCUGGGUAAGCACCUAUACUAAACAAGCAAGAUAGAUAUUAUCAUCCAUCCAGAUUAUUUCAUCAACAAUUACACUUUUUACUCUAUGUGGUAAAAGGGAUAAGCAGUCUAUUCAUCGUGAGAGGCGGACGAUUCCUGAAUCGAAAUUCAACCUUGCAAGGUAAACCUAACUCACACGCUUGGAACACCAAAGGGUUGUUCCGAAGCAACCGUUUGCCUUUCAUUCUGACUCGUGGAUCAGAGCCACCACAAGCGACUGCAGGACCAUACGCACUUCCAAAGUGCAGGACGUACGUCUGUAGCGCGACUACAAAACCCGUACUCCUGGUUGCCUUUGCAACCCGUAUUGCCACACGUCGAACUUAAGUAACCAGAAGAAGCAAGACGAGUGGUGGGAGUUAUGUCCACUCCUCGGGCCGAUUGGCUACUAGGCUUACCGCUUACCAUAUUUCGCGGCAUGUGGCUAGUACUUUCAAACGCUUACCCACCACUACCACACAUUUCGACCUUAAAACUUUUAGCAACAUAGACAGGGUAAUCUUCAGGUCAUGAUACAACACAUGACCCUGUCCAUCAUCCGUAUAGUCGUUGCAGAAUUGUAAACAAGCAACUCCUAUAUCGCGCGAGUGACAGGAAAUCACCCGACUUUUAUCGGUCCUAUUUAGCAGAGCAUCUAAACGGUAUGGACUCGGGUACAAUACAUUGGUUUCCUAAGAUCUUAUGCAAUUAGGGUUUCAUCUCAACUCCUAGACGUAAUGCAAGAUAUAUAAUAUAAUAAUAAAAUUGUAAUAACUUGAAAUAUUGGGAUGUGCACCGGGGCUUGCCUUUAUUGGUGGGGCUGAAGUCAGUAAAGUUAAGAUCUUCCGAACUUUGGUUCGGGGCUUUCGAUAAAUCCUUAGUGACGUUCACUUGGUCUUCAGAAACAUCCUUUGCAGAUUCCUGGGAGACCUCAUAGGUACCGUUGCGGAAGUAGUCGUAUCUACAUGCAAUGCAACAUUACAUUCAAAGUGUGCAUAUGAAGCUAUCUUACUUUACAAUGAAGUUGCAAUUCAACACUCAUUUAACACACUAUUCACAUCACAACCAAAAAGAUCUGAACUAAAUCUAGACAGAGCUAUAGGGGAAUAACUAAUUAAAAUCAGCUAAUUGUUGAGGGUUACAACAGAGCCGAUUGGAAACAACGGGGGUUUAGCUGAUUGAUGUGCUUAGGUCGUGCCUAACAGAGGCGUGUCUAUUGUGUUAGCUUAUUGAUCUAGGGUUGUGUACUAUGGUCUGUGUAGCCGAUUGAUAGGUGCACCAAGUUCCUAAUUGAUUGAUGAAAGCAUCGAUUACUUUGGCAGAAGGAUGAUUCCUAAAGCAGUUGUCUUAACUGAGAUGUGCUUAAGUGUUAUUCUAGGUAACUAGGUGUGGUUGUAUGGACUCGAUUACGUCAGCACAACUAUUGAGUGACGUACAGCCGAUUGGAGUGUGGUUAAGGGUGUGUGACCGAUAGAUAUAUAGCCGAUCUCUCAGUCGAUAAAUCGACUGAUAGAAGUGUGUGGAUAAGGAUGGAAAAACUAAGGAUUGAUCGGCCAUAACCGAUAUGGACAACAACUAGAAUCGGCUUGGAUCGGCGGAUAGCAAGAGUCCUAAGAUUGUGUGUGCAUUUCCGAUACAUCGACUAUGUGCAGCCGAUGUAGGACAGAACAAAAGAGUGGUAUCGGCGGUAGCCGAUAUUAGAAAGAUAACAACAGUAUCAGCUAACCAACCGAUGGUAGAAACAUAUCAAAAGAAAUGCAUCGGUUGACAGUUGUUACACAGAAACAUCAUAGACUCAAAGGAAACGGAUGCUUAGCGGCUGAGCUAAUAGCCGCCACUGAAGCAUAGCUGCCGAGAUGUAUUAGCUGAGCAGCAGAUACACACAAACUAACAGGGAUCCUUUUACAAAAAGGAUCUUAAGAAAACAGCAAUCAAGACAAGGUUAAAGUCUUGAUGGCAGGGAUAAGAGCACUCAUAUGAAAGGAUUAACUAAACAUCACACAUCUCUAUUUAAGACAUAUAUUCUAUGGCUUAUUUUUCAGCUAUAACACAAGCAUACAAUAUAAGGCACAAUAAAACAUUCAUUCCCUAACAUUUGACUUAGACCACACAUCAAAGACUUUUAUCUCAUGAUCAUAACAUACAACUUGUAGAUUUUGACCUAGGGUUUCCAACAAAACUGAUUUUGUAUUUUUAUGAACUCCUUACGAAAAUCUAUAAAAUUGUAGAAGUUCAUUGAUUUGAAAUAAAGAAAGUUCUGGAAAUCUUACAGAAAACACCCUAGAAUUUUCUAAAAUGAAGCAAUUAAGUCCCUGGUCGGGGAAAAUAGAGAACGGAAAGAUAACGACGAUAUUCCGGCAAAGGAGUCGCCGGCAUUAAGAAGAUUCAGUGAAUCAGGGCAAACCUUGGGGUAGUCUUGGUUGCAGAGUAGAAUGGGCGGAAAGUAAAUUCCCGCGAUGAACAGAAUCGGCGAUAAGAUGAGCUCGACGGUGAUGAGGUUCCGUGGAUGACGAAGAAGUUUGUCGGGAAUUGCAGUGGGUGAAGAAUAACCGAAGAGAUAUUCCUCACGGUGAUCCAUGGUGACGAUAGCCGGUGUUGUCGCGGUGAUGAUGUUCUGGUAUUCAGGGAUCGAAGAGACUCGAUGGGGUUCAGGAGUUUCUUCGAGGUGUUGUGGUCUUGCUCAGACGAUCGGUGAAGGGUAAGAGCUGUUGGAUGUCGUAGAUUCAAGGAAGAAGCCGAUAGGGUCGGAUUGGUUCGCUAUGCCGACUCCUUGCAAAUCUCAGGGUUUUCCUGAUCACGGCUAAGCCUUCUCUGCUCACGCACGUGUGCUGCUGAAGCAUGGCCAGCACACCCGCGUAGCCUCUUGCAGGAUCGCCGCGCUUGGUUGCAUUUCCGGUGCGCCAUUUCUGCUCUGCUCCCGCAUCAACGGCCCCCAGCCUGCAUGCGCAUGGUCGGUUGCCUUGCAUACGCACGCGCCUCUGCAUGGGUGAAGAAAGCUCGCCGUGCCUGGCUGCACCGAGGCUCCUCCAAGCUCGUCACACCCGACCGCCGCCUUCGCUCCGCAGCUUCUCUUUCCGACUUACCGUGCCAUAAGCGCUUCUCCGCCUCCGCGAGGAUCGGGGUUUGCUCGCACCCGGCUACCUCCAAACCCUCCAUGAGCAGUCCGCAGUGCCGCCUGACUUCAUCCGUUGCCUUCUCCUCAACGGCCUCCGACGUUCUCCACACGCGACUCUACAGCCCCCUGGGCGGGUCCACCCCAAAUCGUCGCGCUGUAGCACCUUCCACACUGCGUGCGACCUUCCUGUACACCAAUUCGGUCGCGGCCUGAGCGCGUCCAGCGGAGACACCGCUAUGCGCUACACGCUGUCGUCUUGCACGCCGUUGCCCUGCACGUUAUCGCCCUGCACAGCCCUUCCUACUGCCGGACUCGCGCUCGCCUCGGCCUUGCCGCGUCGCAGGUCCCUGCGCGGCCGUCCUCAUCAAGUUACUGCCGUGCGCGACCUCGUUGCCCUCCGUGCGAGUCGGUCCCGAGCCGCCACGCCUCACCUCCAUCCGCGCACGCACGAACCGCGCGCGUCCUUGGCCCGCACCGUGCUGCUGCUCACACAUCUGAAUCCGCCCUGCGCGCCACUGCUCGCUCCGGGCCGUUCGCCUCCGCUCGGGUCCUGCUCCUGCGCUCACACGCCUACGCCGCCUGUAUCUGCGCCGUGCUUGCUCCAACGCCUGUUUCUGCCCAGCUCCCGCGCUCACCCGGCGCCAGUGCCCG